rnacentral:rRNA from 1 species
AUUGAACGCUGGCGGCCGGCCUAACACAUGCAAGUCGAACGAGUGGCGGACGGGUGAGUAAUGUCUGGGAAACUGCCUGAUGGCGGGGGAUAACUACUGGAAACGGUAGCUAAUACCGCAUACCCUCAGAUGUGCCCAGAUGGGAUUAGCUAGUUGGUGGGGUAACGGCUCACCAAGGCGACGAUCCCUCGCUGGUCUGAGAGGAUGACCAGCAACACUGGAACGGAGACACGGUCCAGACUCCUACGGGAGGCAGCAGUGGGGAAUAUGGCACAAUGGGCGCAAGCCUGAGGCAGCCAUGCCGCGAGUAUGAAGAAGGCCAUAGGGUUGUAAAGUACUUUCAGUGGGGAGGCGGUACCGGCAGAAGAAGCACCGGCUAACUCCGUGCCAGCAGCCGCGGUAAUUC